rnacentral:rRNA from 1 species
UACGAGGGGGGCGAGCGUUGUUCGGAAUUACUGGGCGUAAAGGGUGCGUAGGUGGUUUGUUAAGUCUGCUGUGAAAUCCCCGGGCUCAACCUGGGAAUGGCAGUGGAUACUGGCAAGCUAGAGUGCGGUAGAGGGUAGUGGAAUUCCCGGUGUAGCAGUGAAAUGCGUAGAUAUCUGGAGGAACACCGAUGGCGAAGGCGGCAUUCUGGACUGCAACUGACACUGAAAAACGAAAGCCAGGGGAGCAAACGGG